UAGCAAAUUUUGUUUGGGUUCAUUUGUUGUUGUUUUUACUCUAGAUUUGAACCUAAUGAAAGCUGCAGCUGAUAUCCUUCCUGAGGACGUCCAGAAGCUCUUUGGAGAAGUUGAAGAUUAUCUGGAAAACCUACAGAGUGAGAGCCUUAGUGCUAGAGCACGGAUACAGAGAGAUGAAAUCCUAUUUGAUAUUGAACAACUUAAAGAGAGGUAUCAGUGGGGAUUCCUACCGGGAG